ensembl:lncRNA
GAGGGAAUUAGGUUUAGGUGAGGUUGGCUUCCUCUCCCGCUGCUAAGGGAGGACACAGCAGGAACUCAAACUGCCAGCACCUUUAAUCUGAACUUUCCAACCUCUUGAAUUGUGGGAAAUAAAUGUCUGUUGUUUAAACCAUUUUUUUUUUUAAUAGCAGGUUUAGCGGACUUAAUACAGAGGGGUGUGUGUGCUUAGUCACUCAGUCGUGUCCGACUCUUUGCAUCCCCAUGGACUGUAGCCUGCCAGACUCCUCCAGCUCCUGCCAUGAGCUUCUCCAGGUAAGAAUACUGGAGUGGAUAGCCAUUCCCUUUUCUAGAAGAUCUUCCUGACCCAGAGAUCGAACUUCAAUUCACCUGCUUUGCAGGUGGAUUCUUUACUGUCUGAGCCACCAGGGAAGCCCUUAAUACAGGGAGGGCGUUCUUCAAUCAGAGCGAUUUGGGAAAGGCUCAGUUUGCUCCCUCCCUAUUUUAAAGGACUCACAAUGUCUAUUAGGAGAUCAAAGACUGAAAAAUUCUGCAGUUUAAGGGAAGGUAUUUAAAUUUGUUUAACUAAUGACUUCUCAAGAUUUUUGACUAUGGAACACCCCCAACACCCAUGAAUCUUUCACGGAACACACUUGAAAGGGGCCGCAGGUGAGACUGUGUGUCUGUUUCCAGGUGGGAGUCAGAAGCUUGUGUAGCGGGAGGCUUGGCAGGAAAUUACAAGAUGUGAGAUCAAAUGGAAGACCCAGCUGAGCGUGAGAACAAGAUCUUACUGGGACAUAGCAGGACCUGAUAAAUCUCUGCUGAAUAUAUUUCAAGGACAGCCAAGGGGAGGGUUAAUUGCACAAUUUGGGUUUUGUGCAAAUACAAUAUGUGCACUAAAUAUUUUAUUAAAUAUUGGCAUAUAUUCCAUAAAUAGAAAACACUUGCAUGAAAAUGAAGCGUUUAUUAUUGAGUAGUUAGAUAUUUUAAAUAGUUCAUGCAUAUUGCAGAGUAGGGAUGGAGGGAAGGAGGGGAGAUCUUUGGGAGAAAGAUGGCAAAUGGCACAGAAAACCAUCACAUUGCUGUGUGAUUUCAUAGUGACAUUUCAGUCUGCUGUUAGCUGAGGGGGCUUGACGAGAUGGCCUUAGAGACUGCAUCCAAAUCUCACAUCCUGACUCCUUGUUCUUCUCAAUAGGAUGGAACAAGUUUGGAAAAGAAAUUGUUUUAUUCAGAGGUAGGAACACUUAAUACAGUUCAGACAGUACAUUUGUAAUGGGUAUUUAACAUAGAUCAACUGUGCAAAUAGAUUCAAUGAUUUUUUUCUUAAGCAGAAGAAUAUGAAGAUAUAAGGGCCUCCAUUAUUUAACACUUAGAAUGUUGACACAGUAAAGGUAAGCCUCAAUAUAGAGAAAUGGGCUCCCGAUGUUCUCUCUUUUGGUUUUUUAAAAAUUGAAGUUUAACAACAAUAAUUUUUUUUCUUGGAAUUGGAAAAUUUUUAGGUUUAUCUCGUUAUACAGAGCAAUCAGGCUGUUUUCAAUUUUUGUAAUCUUAUAUUCACCUGUAAUUACAAAUUGCAUAUAACUUUUCUCUUGUGUAAAUGCUUAGACCAAGUUAGUAAAUGUCAUGAUUUUAGUGCCAUCUACUGGUGAAAAGGACAGAUUAGUGAUUAUAGGUUUAAGAACGGGGGUGAAUCUACUAAUGAGACACUCAGAGAUUCAAACAUGGAAAGGUAUUUGAUAUUAAAGAAUUAUUGCUAAUUAUUUUUAGGUGUGAUGUUGAUGUCGUGGUUAUGUUAAAGCAUCCUUAUUUUUUAGAGAUUUGGGGCCAAGUCUGGCCCACUAUCAUUAUGGGCUGUGAGCUAAGAACAGUUUUUACAUUUUUAAGAGGUUGAAAGCAUCCAAAGAAGAAUAUUUAGUGUCAUAGGAAAAUUAUAUGAAAUUCAAAUUUCAGUGUCUGGAAGUAAGGUUCCAUUGGAGC